rnacentral:rRNA from 1 species
GCGGCGGAUGGGUGAGUAACACGUGGGCAACCUGCCUGUAAGAUUGGGAUAACUUGCGGAAACGUGAGCUAAUACCAAAUAAAGCUUCAUAUCACCUGAUGUGAAGAUGAAAGAUGGCUCCGGCUAUCACUUACAGAUGGGCCCGUGGCGCAUUAACUAUUUGGUGGGAUAAAAGCUUACCAAGGCAACGAUGCGUAACCGACCUGAGAGGGUGAUCGGCCACACUGGGACUGAGACACGGCCCAGACUCCUACGGGAGGCAGCAGUAGGGAAUCUUCCGCAAUGGACGCACGUCUGACGGAUCAACGCCUCGUGAGUGAUGAAGGUUUUCGGAUCGUAAAACUCUGUUGUUAGGGAAGAACAAGUACCGUUCGAAUAGGUCGGUACCUUGACGGUACCUAACCAGAAAGCCCCGGCUAACUACGUGCCAGCAGCCGCGGUAAUACGUAGGGGGCAAGCGUUGUCCGGAAUUAUUGGCCGUAAAGCGCGCGCAGGCGGUCCUUUAAGUCUGAUGUGACAGCCCACG